rnacentral:rRNA from 1 species
CCAAAAAUAACCGCCUCAGUUCGGAUUGUAGUCUGNAACCCGACUACAUGAAGCCGGAAUCGCUAGUAAUCGCGAAUCAGAAUGUCGCGGUGAAUACGUUCCCGGGUCUUGUACACACCGCCCGUCACACCAUGGGAGCCGGAAAUGCCCGAAGUCAGUGGCCCAACCUCAAAGGAGGGAGCUGCCGAAGGUGGAGCUGGUAACUGGGGUGAAGUCGUAACAAGGUAUC